UACGAAGGGUGCAAGCGUUAAUCGGAAUUACUGGGCGUAAAGCGUGCGCAGGCGGUUUUGUAAGUCUGACGUGAAAGCCCCGGGCUCAACCUGGGAAUUGCGUUGGAGACUGCAAGGCUUGAAUCUGGCAGAGGGGGGUAGAAUUCCACGUGUAGCAGUGAAAUGCGUAGAGAUGUGGAGGAACACCGAUGGCGAAGGCAGCCCCCUGGGUCAAGAUUGACGCUCAUGCACGAAAGCGUGGGGAGCAAACAGG
rnacentral:rRNA from 1 species